UACGAAGGGGGCUAGCGUUGCUCGGAAUCACUGGGCGUAAAGCGCACGUAGGCGGCUUUCUAAGUCGGUGGUGAAAUCCUGGAGCUCAACUCCAGAACUGCCUCCGAUACUGGAAGGCUCGAGUCCGGGAGAGGUGAGUGGAACUGCGAGUGUAGAGGUGAAAUUCGUAGAUAUUCGCAAGAACACCAGUGGCGAAGGCGGCUCACUGGCCCGGUACUGACGCUGAGGUGCGAAAGCGUGGGGAGCGAACAGG
rnacentral:rRNA from 1 species